UGGGGAAUAUUGGACAAUGGGGGCAACCCUGAUCCAGCAAUGCCGCGUGAGUGAUGAAGGCCUUAGGGUUGUAAAGCUCUUUCGGCGGGGACGAUGAUGACGGUACCCGCAGAAGAAGCCCUGGCUAACUUCGUGCCAGCAGCCGCGGUAAUACGAAGGGGGCAAGCGUUGUUCGGAAUUACUGGGCGUAAAGGGCGCGCAGGCGGCUCGUCAAGUCAGAUGUGAAAGCCCCGGGCUCAACCUGGGAAUUGCAUUUGGGACUGGCGGGCUAGAGUUCGGGAGAGGUGGGUGGAAUUCCCAGUGUAGAGGUGAAAUUCGUAGAUAUUGGGAAGAACACCGGUGGCGAAGGCGGCUCACUGGACCGAAACUGACGCUGAGGCGCGAAAGCGUGGGGAGCAAACAG
rnacentral:rRNA from 1 species